rnacentral:rRNA from 1 species
CCUACGGGAGGCAGCAGUGGGGAAUAUUGGACAAUGGGCGAAAGCCUGAUCCAGCAAUGCCGCGUGAGUGAUGAAGGCCUUAGGGUUGUAAAGCUCUUUUACCCGGGAUGAUAAUGACAGUACCGGGAGAAUAAGCUCCGGCUAACUCCGUGCCAGCAGCCGCGGUAAUACGGAGGGAGCUAGCGUUGUUCGGAAUUACUGGGCGUAAAGCGUACGUAGGCGGUUAUUCAAGUCAGAGGUGAAAGCCUGGAGCUCAACUCCAGAACUGCCUUUGAAACUAGGUAGCUAGAAUCUUGGAGAGGUUAGUGGAAUUCCGAGUGUAGAGGUGAAAUUCGUAGAUAUUCGGAAGAACACCAGUGGCGAAGGCGACUAACUGGACAAGUAUUGACGCUGAGGUACGAAAGCGUGGGGAGCAAACAGGAUUAGAUACCCUGGUAGUCCACGCCGUAAACGAUGAUAACUAGCUGUUCGGGCUCUACGAGCUUGAGUGGCGCAGCUAACGCAUUAAGUUAUCCGCCUGGGGAGUACGGUCGCAAGAUUAAAACUCAAAGAUAGAGG